rnacentral:rRNA from 1 species
UACGAAGGGGGCUAGCGUUGCUCGGAAUCACUGGGCGUAAAGGGUGCGUAGGCGGGUCUUUGAGUCAGGGGUGAAAUCCUGGAGCUCAACUCCAGAACUGCCUUUGAUACUGAAGAUCUUGAGUUCGGGAGAGGUGAGUGGAACUGCGAGUGUAGAGGUGAAAUUCGCAGAUAUUCGCAAGAACACCAGUGGCGAAGGCGGCUCACUGGCCCGAUACUGACGCUGAGGCACGAAAGCGUGGGGAGCAAACAGG